rnacentral:rRNA from 1 species
CCGCCAGAGAACUACAAGUGAAAAACUAGAAACUCCAAGGACUUGGCGGUGUCCCAUAUCAACCUAGAGGAGCCUGUCCUAUAAUCGAUACCCCACGUUAUACCUUACCAUCCUUUGCACCACAGCCUAUAUACCGCCGUCGUCAGCUAACCUUAUGAAAGUAGCAGAGUUAGCAAAAUAGUAAAACAACUAGAACGUCAGGUCAAGGUGUAGCACAUAAGAUGGAAGAGAUGGGCUACAUUUUUUAUUAUAAAAAACACGAACAGCACAAUGAAAUAGGUGCUUGAAGGCGGAUUUAGCAGUAAGACAAACAAGAAACUUUGUCUAAAACCCGCUCUGGGACG